CAUCGAUGAAGAACGCAGCGAAAUGCGAUACGUGGUGCGAAUUGCAGAAUCCCGUGAACCAUCGAGUUUUUGAACGCAAGUUGCGCCUGAGGCCAGCUGGCCGAGGGCACGUCCGCCUGGGCGUCAAGC
rnacentral:rRNA from 1 species